CAGGGGAGAGGUCCCAGGAGCGCCCACUGUUAGGCUGGAGUUACAUAGGAAAGAACAGAGAGCAGCCACCACUGUACGGCCUGCACCAUCCUACAAGAUCUGAAAGUGCGGAGUCCUCAGAGCUGUCAGAGGAUGUGGGGCUUAUGACAACACCUGGGAGGAGAGAUGGAGAAGGCUUUUAUGGAGUCCCAGUGAGUCUCUUUCAGUGAACCUGGAGCUUGCCAGUUUGUCUAGACUGGCUUUGCCAGUGAACCCCAGGACCCUCUCGUCUCUGCUUCCCCAUUGGUGGAAUCCCAGGCAUACUGCUACAUCCAGCUUUUCGCUAUACACGCAUGCUGGGAUAGAACUCAGUUCCUCACAUUUGCAAGUUGCUGGGCCCUGCAGAUGGAGGAUGGAGUCAUCACUUGUGCAUCACUGAAGCGAAAUAUCUGACAAGAACAAGUCCAGGAGAGAAAGUUGGCUUUAGCUGGUGUUUUCAAAGCACUCUGUCACUGCUUCCUAUGCACGUGGGUAGGAAGGACAUUGGGACAGAUAAUCAUGGUCACCGGAGCACAUGACUGAAGGAGUACUUACCAAUAAUGGACAGGAAACAGUAGAACGGCAACAGGAAGGAGCCAGGGCAAGGAACAGCCCUCUAGAAGCAUUUGCGGUGUGUGAGCCAUGGAGGAGAAGGAUGCAAGGAGCCAAGGAAGUGUGAAGGCCCCCUUAUAUCCUCAUCAUCGCCACAGACAGGGACCACCCAGGCUUCAGACUUGGGAGGGCUCCCAGUACGACGAGUGGCACGUUCAGGCGUGAAGUCAGACUGCUGAUACUGUGAGGCAGCAGGAGCUGAUAGAAGAACAACCCCCUCCCACAUCCACCCCCAAGAAAGCAAGGAAGUAGUGGGCAGGGGCCGCAUGGAUCCAGGGUGGGCAGAAACGGCAAAUGGGCUUGUAGAUCUGACUAUAUAAUUUUAGCAACUUUUGAUGGCUCCCUUCCCACACCAGAUUCCACCAUUCUUCCUGACUGGUCCCUACUUAUCACCCUAUUUGUGUGUCCACAGUAAGGCAACCAGGGUUGGUUCCUAUAAAUCUGGGCUUCCUCACAGGGUGUGUUAGAAUUCAUCACAGGAGGAAAGAGCCACUGCCUUCAGGACUAGCUGAACUCAACAGAAACAGAAAACACACACACACACACACACAUACACACACACACACACACACAAUCUAUGC
rnacentral:lncRNA from 1 species